AAUCAACGCUGGCGGCGUGCCUCAGACAUGCAAGUCGAACGAUUAAAGCUCUCUUCGGAGAGUGUAUAGAGUGGCGCACGGGUGAGUAACACGUAAGUAAUCUACCCUCGAGUGGGGAAUAACAACCGGAAACGGUUGCUAAUACCGCAUAAUGCAGCGGCACCGCAAGGUGACAGUUGUUAAAGAUUUAUCGCUUGAGGAGGAGCUUGCGGCAGAUUAGCUAGUUGGUAGGGUAACGGCUUACCAAGGCUACGAUCUGUAACCGGUCUAAGAGGACGGUCGGUCACACUGACACUGAAUAACGGGUCAGACUCCUACGGGAGGCAGCAGUCGGGAAUUUUGGGCAAUGGGCGAAAGCCUGACCCAGCGACGCCGCGUGAAGGAUGAAGUAUUUCGGUAUGUAAACUUCGAAAGAAUAGGAAGAAUUAAUGACGGUACUAUUUAUAAGGUCCGGCUAACUACGUGCCAGCAGCCGCGGUAAU
rnacentral:rRNA from 1 species